rnacentral:rRNA from 1 species
AUUGAACGCUGGCGGCAGGCCUAACACAUGCAAGUCGAGCGGUAGCGGGAAAGUAGCUUGCUACUUUUGCCGGCGAGCGGCGGACGGGUGAGUAAUGCCUGGGAAAUUGCCCAGUCGAGGGGGAUAACAGUUGGAAACGACUGCUAAUACCGCAUACGCCCUACGGGGGAAAGCAGGGGACCUUCGGGCCUUGCACGAUUGGAUAUGCCCAGGUGGGAUUAGCUAGUUGGUGAGGUAAUGGCUCACCAAGGCGACGAUCCCUAGCUGGUCUGAGAGGAUGAUCGACCAGACUGGAACUGAGACACGGUCCAGACUCCUACGGGAGGCAGCAGUGGGGAAUAUUGCACAAUGGGGGAAACCCUGAUGCAGCCAUGCCGCGUGUGUGAAGAAGGCCUUCGGGUUGUAAAGCACUUUCAGCGAGGAGGAAAGGUUGAUGCCUAAUACGUAUCAACUGUGACGUUACUCGCAGAAGAAGCACCGGCUAACUCCGUGCCAGCAGCCGCGGUAA